UACGGGGGGGGCAAGCGUUGUUCGGAAUUAUUGGGCGUAAAGAGCUCGUAGGCGGUCUGUCGCGUCGGAUGUGAAAAUCCAGGGCUCAACCCUGGACCUGCAUUCGAUACGGGCAGACUAGAGUUCGGCAGGGGAGACUGGAAUUCCUGGUGUAGCGGUGAAAUGCGCAGAUAUCAGGAGGAACACCGGUGGCGAAGGCGGGUCUCUGGGCCGAUACUGACGCUGAGGAGCGAAAAGCGUGGGGGAGCGAACAGG
rnacentral:rRNA from 1 species